CCUACGGGAGGCUGCAGUGAGGAAUAUUGGUCAAUGGGCGGAAGCCUGAACCAGCCAAGUAGCGUGCGGGAUGAAGGCCCUACGGGGCGUAAACCGCUUUUGCACGGGGAUAACACCCUCCACUUGUGUAGGUCUGCAGGUACCGUGCGAAUAAGGGCCGGUCAAUUCCGUGCCAACAGCAGCGGUAAUACGGAGGGCCCGAGCGUUACCCGGAUUUAUUGGCCUUAAAGGGAGCGUAGGCGGGCUUUCAAGUCCACUGUAAAAGCUCGCGUCUCAACCGCGCCCCGCAGUUGAAACUUGACGCCUUGAGUUCACCACAGGCAGGCGGAAUUCGUGGUGUAGCGGUGA
rnacentral:rRNA from 1 species